GGGGUGGCUCCGGAAUGAGGCUCUGCGUUUCUAGGUGCUGCUUGCCCUAUCCACCCAAAAUCUGGUCCUGGAAUUCCACUCUGCAGGCGCCACCCCAAGGCCACCUUUGUUGCCCAAGGGGUCUCACUGAAGGGAUUGCUCCGCUGGCAGGACAUUGACAUGACACUUCCUGAGAAAACAGCAGCACCUGAGCUGUCGACUCAGGGUCCCAUCGUGCCUCCAAAGCUCUGGGCACUAGUGCUAAUUAGUGUUGCACAUCACCUCCAAAGCCACCUCCACCAUUACUGGGAGUCCCGAGUCCACUAGGAGUUUGACAGCUGGCCUAGGAAAGAGAGGUCCAAUUCUCUGGCCGAGGGCUCACUUUUCCUGUGACAAUCACUUUAGAUUAAGUACUUGUUUUGACCUGGCGCCUCGGCAGGUAAGGACUACUGGCAGAAGACAAAGGGAGGUGUGGAAUCUCGUCCACGGUUUACGUCAGCUUAAAAGAAAGAACACGCAAGAAAACCCCUUCGUUCUGUGGCGCCGCCUUGAAGUAGCUUCCCCGGGCCGGGAGCGGGUCCGCAGCAGAGUUCCGGGCUGCGAAGGCCCGGGAUUCAGGUGGUGGUGGCUGGAGUCCCGCCCGGCUCUGCGCGCCUCCCCCCAAAACCUCCCACCACCGGCCGCGGCCCCAGAUGCCCUUGAGCUUGGACGGGCCUGGGCGGUUUGGGCCCUUCUGGGCUCCCAGGGCCGUCGGGACCCCCAGGCCUGGAGGUUUUAGGGUGGGCUACUGCCAGCCCCUGGCGGCCCGGGCGCCUCAGGCCAGCCACCCAGAGGCCUGGACAGAGAACAGGCUCCCCACCCACCUUUCCUUUGCACUUGGGCUUCAGGGAGGCACCUCGAGACGAGACUGCCUUCCUGCCUCUCACCAACCUGCCCUCUCUCUCUCUGUCCCCGCUCUGCACAAAGUCCCCCUCAAGCCGGGAGGCAUCUGGUGGCACCUGGCGCCCAGCCCUUGGGGAGGACCUUGCCUGCGCCAGCCUGUUGUCUACAGUGGGCGUCCGCAGGACCCAGGAAUAUUUUUUUAAGACAUCCAGCAUCUCCAGUUAGCAGUACUGACCUUUUUUCCCAACAAAGAAACACUGCAUCAACACUCUUGGCCCGGAGCUGGACACAGAAGACUCCUGUUUCAAGAAAAUACAAUCAUCUCUCAAAGUCUGUAAUUUAUAUGCAUUUCUAACUCACUAGGUAUUGAAAACCACCCAAGUGUCCCACAACAUGGGCUAAAAUAUAAUCAAUCACUCAGUGUAACAUUAUACAUCCUUUAAAAAUGUUAUUGGAAAAUGUUUUACGAUCUGUAAGAUGAAAUAACCCUCUCCCACAAUUUCUUUCUCCCUGCUGCUCCCCCAUACCCACGCUUCUUUGUUCCAAUUGGCAUGUAAACUUGUUUUUCCCGCCAAAUGAGUCAGUCACUAUGGGAACGUCAAUUGAUUUGAACAGAUGUGUGUCAAUGUUACUUGGAAAACUAGAUGCCAAUAACCAGGGUCACCAAAAAAAAAAAAGCAGUGGUUGCAACUCUGUAAAAAUUUAUGUGUUCAUACAGACAAGGGCUAAAGUGGAACACAAAACAGGAAAACAGUUGGAUAUACUCCAGUGCUGAGAGAUUGAAUGAUUGUAUGCUGCUUUUGAUUUCCAUUAAUACGGGCAACUGUCCAAUUAAAAACAUGAUAAGGACUCUGCAGUGCAAAUUAUUUUGCUGAUUGUUUUAAAACACCAUACCUAGCAAAUCAUCAAGGCAGAUGGGGCAGCAGGGCCCUGUGUUUGUUUCCCCAGUCCUGGACUAUAGAGCUCAGGGCAACACUUGGAGAAAAAGUGGUGCUACACAGGUGGGAGUUAAUGUCUAGACAGCUUUCCUGAGAGGCUGAUGAAAAUAAAAAUA